UCGCACAGGGGCAAGUUACCGCGUUCAGCUCACCUGCAGUAACUUGCUCCUGUGAGAGG
rnacentral:pre_miRNA from 1 species